UGGCGACCAUAGAGUACUGGAACCACCUGAUCCAUACCGAACUCAGUAGUGAAACGGUACAUCGCCGAUGGUAGUGUGGGGUUUCCCCAUGUGAGAGUAGGUCAUCGCCA
rnacentral:rRNA from 1 species